GUGGUGUUCAGGUAUUGGCUACAGGACUGAGCCGUUUACCGCAGUCUGUGAUGCCACACAAAGAGAAAAUGGUUCCUGCGGACAGAGCCUGUCAAGACAUUGGGUUCCCUGUGCAAUGGUACCAGACACA